GAUGGAUGAGGUGGGGGUGCAGUUACUGAUGGUGCAUGGUCAGAUAGAGAAGUGAUCACCGGAAUAAUUACAAUGAAGGGCCUGUCCUGACUGUUCUGCAGCCCUAGGCAAGACAGAAGAAAUGCCUUCUAUGAUUGGUUCGGACGGGACAACAACAACAAAAAACAUCUGUGGAUGUGGAAAUCAAGACAAGUCUGGACAGGACCAAAUAAAGACGUCGGCGUCGGGCCAUGCUUACUGAGGUGUAGCCUACAGUGUCGCCUGAAAAACAAGCGGUCGGCUCUAUUAGUCCUGAUUCCUGUGACUAUUCAAUUUGGCUUUUUAAGCUCUGCAUAUCAGCUACCCAACUUGAUCAGGAGUUAUCCUGAACCUAUUUGCAAUGUGUACACAGUGGGAAAUCAGAAGAUUUUUCCUUUUGACCAUGAUCAGCUCAUAAAAAAAUGGACACAUACAAACUUGAACCCACUGAUCAUGACAAUUUACCCCACAAGGUGAAACUCCUGGACAGCAGUUGGGAGUAGCCUCUUUAGGAUACGUUGUUUGCUAACAUGUCAGCACAUUUUUUUUUGAUUGAGCGCCAUUUAAGUUAGGCUAUUUGAUCGGAGAAACAUGCACGAUGUAAAAAAGUGUCAUUAUUGUCAUACAUUUUAUCUCCAGCCUGUAGGCUACAAAAAGGCCACCUACUCUUUCUACCAUAUGGUAUAUCCAGUGGGGAAUGUAUAAUUCAUUUCUUCCCAGUACGGAACCAAGCGCAUGCACCAACAUUUACAUACACAAUCCCUAUUAAUUCAAUAGGAUCCAUGUGGGCCUAGUCGUACAUCCACCCACUCGCAACAUAUGGUGAAUAGAAAAAGACAUCUGUUACACAAAAUGCUAAAUUUGGCUGAUGUUUCAGGUCAGAAUUUAUGCAAUCCACUGGCGCAUUUCAGUGUUGGCCAUUCAUCUCUGCCUUGGCAAAAUUGGACUGUUCUCGUAGAACCACAUCGCAUUUGAGAGUAGUCUAUACCACCCAUUUUCAAGUCCAUUCGCUCAUGUUUCAUGACUCUGACAUGCAGUAAUGAUAAAAAGUGAUGCAAUGGCCUGAAGUUCUUGACAUUUUGCUAUAACUAUUGUGAAUGUUUUACCCUGGCUAUUUUUGCGACAUGCUUUUUGAUAGAUUAUUUUUGGGACUCUCCAACAUCACCCUGGAGAGGAGCACUGGGAAUGGACAUGCAAAUUAUUUUGAUCAUCUGCCUUUGACCAAGUGGGCACUGCUUAUCACAG
ensembl:lncRNA